GUCUUCUCCCCAGCCCUACCUGGUGCAUUUUUUCAAGAAAAGUCGCCCAGCUCACCCCCAACCCACAGCUCUUCAUCCAGGAGGUAGACCAACCCAAGCCACAGGCUCCAGCAGCCUUCAAGGCUCCAGCCCCCAUCCCAGGCCACGCCCCUACCCUUCUCUCCACCAAUGCCAGGCCUGCCCAUCUCAUCACUGACAGUGGCUAGCCAAUCAAGUUUACUCAGCUGCCUAGAUGUGUGGUCUAUAGGGCCUGCCGUGACAUCCUCAAGCCCAUACAUACCUGUCAGAUCAGAACAGGAGCCUGACCAAACCAAUGAUGUAUAUAAACCCUGGAUUGCUGAUGUUACGUAUUGGCCAAUGACAGGCUUUGAAGCCACUGGUCAGCCAUAUUGGCGCUCCUCAGAAAAGCAGUCCUCCAUAGGAAUG
rnacentral:lncRNA from 1 species